CGAGCCUGCGAGGGGGAGCGAAUCCCAAAAAUAACGUCCCAGUUCGGACUGCAGUCUGCAACUCGACUGCACGAAGCUGGAAUCGCUAGUAAUCGCAGAUCAGAAUGCUGCGGUGAAUACGUUCCCGGGUCUUGUACACACCGCCCGUCACACCAUGGGAGUCGGAUAUGCCCGAAGCCGGUGACCUAACCGCAAGGAAGGAGCCGUCGAAGGUGGAGCCGAUGACAGGGGUGAAGUCGUAACAAGGUACC
rnacentral:rRNA from 1 species